GUCUACACGCCACAUCCGGGUCCAUCGCCGUACGGUCAUGACGCCAUGGGAUAUAUGAUGGAUAGUCAAGCGCAUAUGAUGCAUCGUCCACCCGGUGAUCCUGGUUUCCAUCAAGGUUAUCCACACUAUCCACCCGCCGAGUAUUAUGGCCAGCAUUUGUAAUUAACCGAUGUAGUUGAGAGUCAGGACUAUAGUCAAAGUCAUGGGCAAUCAACGUUGGAGGUGGCGACAGCAACAGAAGUAGCAGCAGCAGCAGCAGCAGCAGCAGCGGCGGCGGCGGCAACAGCCGCAUUGGUGUCCACACCAACACUAUCAACAUAGCAAAACAACAACAACAAAUAUGUAAACUAAAGUAGUUAAAAAGCAAAAAAACAACAAAAGCACCAAAAUACUAAUAAAAAAAAAGCAAAAAAUUUAAAAUCAGCACACCAUUAUCUCAAAAAUGCAAACAAAGAACACUCGUGCUAGCAAAAAUUGCAUAAGCGUCAGUGAAAAAUCGUCCUCAACCCCACAAGCAGCGGCAGCUGUACGCUACAACAACGCAUGCACAACCACUACUGGUGCAAAAUGGCUGGCGAAUACAUCAUACCCCAAAAAAUAAAUAGACGAUACCCUCAUCUUACAGAACUUUGACUACUACUUCAAAUAUGGCAGCAAACCGCAGUGUACCAGCUUUAUCAAGACACACACACACACAUCUAAUAACUUUGAUUAACCAACGCCUAUCGCCUCAUAGACAUACGUAAUCGGACUUUAAGUGCAGCAAAAUUUAAAUCCUUACAAAUCUUAUAAAAUUUCACGCAAUUAAAAGUUUGUAAAAUAGAAGGAGAUGCAGCAGUAUUUGCUUAGGCUCUGAAAAAAAUUCUGGCCUGCCUAUUUCGCCUCAAAAGUCGCUUGAGUUCUUUAAGCGAUUUGUGUGUCCAAACCAAAAACUGCAGAAGAUCGUGACUAAA